rnacentral:lncRNA from 1 species
AAAUGAAAUGACGUCAGACUCACAGAUGGUUAAAUACGAGUUUAUUAAGACGUUCAAUGAUUACAGUGCGUCGUUGUCGAUGAUAAGUGCGAAAUGCUGCCGAACUGUUGGAGUAACGGCGGGAGAAUGACCGCUCAUUACCACUGUCCCUUCCAACGUUCCCACACAACCGCUAAGGAAUGCAGGGGUGGUACUCGACUCGACACCCGGCGCACACGUGUUGCAAGAGGACCGUUACAAUAUGCAAGUAGUAUAUAUGUGAUCAUUCUCCUUAUAUAUUUGUUUACAUAUUUUCGAUUUGACGUUGCAAGGCCAAUCGUAAAAGUGACUUUCGCAUUGACCUUGGUCGAAAAGUUUGUCGCGAUGAAAAUACCC